rnacentral:lncRNA from 1 species
AUGAGAGCGGGCGAGGUCCCGGGCGAGGAGGCGGGUCCCUUUCCUCUGAUUGGCCGCCGCCGAGCUCGGUGGGCGGAGCAGGAAGGCGAAGCCGAAGAGGAGAGUCCGGCUCCCCAUCCUCGCCCAAGUGCAUCGCGGCCUUGGCGCCCCGUGAAGGGGAGGAGGAGAAGGGGGGGCGCAGAAGAGGGAAAGAUCCGGCAAAGUCUCUCCGGAUCCCAGGCCGGGGGGGUCCAUGGAUCGGGCGCGGCGGGCCGGGAGAGCCCCGGGGUGCAGGAUUCCCGCGCUAGGCCGGCUCUUCCCAGCCGGAGAAGGGAUCCGAUCCGGAGCAAACCCAUUUACACGGAGCCACCGCGCUCUCCAGCUCCGCCUCGACUAAAAACUUCCUCCGGCUUCCUUAGAUGCCUGCUGGGAACGAGACAAAUUCAUGCUUAUUAAUUUAAAAGCUCAGGUGGUGUACAUGGUCCCUUUUGCCCUCACCAUCCCCUGGUGCCCUACGGAGCAGGACUUGGGGGCCGGAGUCCAGGGCCCCCAUUCGAGCAGAAUGAGCAGGAGGGCCCUCAAACGCAGCAGGGCUGGCCCACCGCCUUUUGAAGUAAGUGAACCUCACACACGUUGCCUUGUCAAAGGGGGGAGAGGUGGGAUUAACAGGCCGUGAGAACGCCACAGAGUUUUCGCUCAAACGGUGCCGCUUGGUGUAGCAUUUUCCGGCUGUGCAGCUGAGGAAUUCUGGGAGCUGUAGUCCAGAGAAAAUAGACUUGUGCUGCGCUAAUUUUGUGCGAUUGCUGCCUGGGAACGAGAACAGGUGGGUUCAGUUGAGGAGUAGUGUCUGGCGGCACCGUGAGUGGAUCUAGAUCCUUUGGCAGUUUCUGGGCUUCAAAAACUGCCUGCUUUGGACUACAACCCCCAGAAUCCCUCAGCCAGCAUGGUAGUGGUGAAGGAGUGUUAGUCCAGAAACAUCUGGGGACCACUGGCUUAGAAUCAGGUUGAUCUUUUCAAAUUCCAUACUCUGUCUUAUGCCACACCAUGUCUUAUGUAGAGGGUUGUCUAGAAUAACCCAUCAUGACAGCUGCCCUCUUCAGUCCAUGGGUCUGAGGUGUGCAUGGAAGCAAAGCAAAGUGUGCUGCUUAUUUACUGCCCCAUAGCACUUAAAACACUCUGUAGGAGGUCUAUAAUUAUUCAGGCUACACGUAGGGAGAAAAGAGCUUGCCAGGUCUCUUCAAGAUAACAACCCAAUAAUGUACAGUGGUGCCUCGCUAGACAGUUACCCCCGCAUGACAAUUUUCUCACUAGACAUUGACUUUUUGCGAUUGCUAUAGCGAUUCACAAAACAGUGAUUCCUAUGGGGGAAUUUCGCUAGACAAUGUUUGGUCCCUGCUUCGCACACUGAUUUUCGCUAGACAACGAUUUUCACAGCUCCCUCCGUGCUCGCAAAAUG